rnacentral:lncRNA from 1 species
UGGAAACAAUUCCAAAGUUGGCUACACUAGUAGGGCUUUCAUUGCAUCCCUUCCUUUCCGAUAACUCCUAUCAACAGGUCAGUGCAAUCUCAAGUGUUUUGUUCUGCUUGCAGUUCAUACCAAAGAAAGGGGUGUCUCCUACGAAACAUGAGAUCAUAUUCAUUGCUCCCACAGGGGAGGAAAUUAGUAACAAGAGGCAAUUGGAAAAGUACCUUAAAGCACACCCUGGGGGUCCAGCAGUAUCAGAAUUUUAUUGGGGCACCGGCGAGACCCCAAGGAGAUCUGCAAGGAUUAGUGAGAAGGUAAAAGCAAUGCCAACAACAUAAAGUGAACUUUCAAAAAAACGAGGCAGCGGCUUCGAAGGAUAACAAGGAAUCCGAGACUGCAUCUGGAGGAAUUGAGGAGACUAAAGACAUUCAAAUGGAAGAGGCUGAAAAGUCUGAGAAAAUGAAUGUGGAAGGAGAGGUUGGAAACGUUGCUG